CAUAGAUAUAGGAGAUCUAGAUUGCUAACGCAUACCUAGCGCAGGCGGGGCCUACAUGAUAAAUCCAAGAUGGCGGUACAACAGGGCAAAAAGACUAUAGAUUCCAUUACGAAAAUCAAGAUUUUUGCAAUUUUUGCCGUCUCAUUGUUUCGAAACUUAUUCGGUCAAAUUUUAUGGUAAAGAGAAACUUUACGCGAAGUUUUUGAGCAUAUAUAUGAUUGAAUUGGAUGAAAAAUCGCAAAAUUAUCCAGCGAUAAAAGUUCGUGUGAAAUGGUU
rnacentral:lncRNA from 1 species